UACAGAGGGGGCAAGCGUUGUUCGGAAUUACUGGGCGUAAAGGGCGCGUAGGCGGCCUUCUAAGUCGAACGUGAAAUCCCCGGGCUCAACCCGGGAACUGCGUCCGAUACUGGAAGGCUUGAAUCCGGGAGAGGGAUGCGGAAUUCCAGGUGUAGCGGUGAAAUGCGUAGAUAUCUGGAAGGAACACCGGUGGCGAAGGCGGCAUCCUGGACCGGCAUUGACGCGUGACGGCGCG
rnacentral:rRNA from 1 species